GACGAACGCUGGCGGCGUGCUUAACACAUGCAAGUCGAACGCUGAAGCUCAGCUUUUGUUGGGUGGAUGAGUGGCGAACGGGUGAGUAACACGUGAGUAACCUGCCUCCUUCUUUGGGAUAACGCCCGGAAACGGGUGCUAAUACUGGAUAUUCACUGGUCUUCGCAUGGGGGUUGGUGGAAAGGGUUUUUCUGGUGGGGGAUGGGCUCGCGGCCUAUCGGCUUGUUGGUGGGGUGAUGGCCUACCGAGGCGUUGACGGGUAGCCGGGCUGAGAGGGUGAACGGUCACAGUGGGACGGAGAUGCGGCCCAGACUCCUACGGGGGGCAGCAGUGGGGAAUAUUGCACAAUGGGCGCAAGCGUGAUGCAGCGACGGCGCGUGAGGGAUGGAGGCCUUCGGGUUGUGAUCCUGUGUCGCUCAUGGUCAAGCCGAAACAAUGGUUGUGGUGAGGGUAGUGGGUAAAGAAGCGCCGGCUAACUACGUG
rnacentral:rRNA from 1 species